GGCGAGAAACCCUACAAGUGCCCCGA
rnacentral:piRNA from 1 species